GUCUGCUUUGGCAGCACGUGUGCUAACCCUGGAUCUGUAAAGAGAAGAUUAGCGUGGCCCCCGCACCAGGAUGCCACGCAAAGUCGUGACAUGUUCUGUAUUUCU